rnacentral:pre_miRNA from 1 species
UACCGAGGUUUUUCUCGGUAGUUAACUGCAGUCGGUUUUUGAAUUCUUCGGCAGUUAACUGCCGAGGGGAAA